rnacentral:rRNA from 1 species
GACGAACGCUGGCGGCGUGCCUAAUACAUGCAAGUUGAGCGAUGAAGCUUGGUGCUUGCACCAAUUUGAAGAGCAGCGAACGGGUGAGUAACGCGUGGGGAAUCUGCCUUUGAGCGGGGGACAACAUUUGGAAACGAAUGCUAAUACCGCAUAACAACUUUAAACAUAAGUUUUAAGUUUGAAAGAUGCAAUUGCAUCACUCAAAGAUGAUCCCGCGUUGUAUUAGCUAGUUGGUGAGGUAAAGGCUCACCAAGGCGGUGAUACAUAGCCGACCUGAGAGGGUGAUCGGCCACAUUGGGACUGAGACACGGCCCAAACUCCUACGGGAGGCAGCAGUAGGGAAUCUUCGGCAAUGGACGAAAGUCUGACCGAGCAACGCCGCGUGAGUGAAGAAGGUUUUCGGAUCGUAAAACUCUGUUGGUAGAGAAGAACGUUGGUGAGAGUGGAAAGCUCAUCAAGUGACGGUAACUACCCAGAAAGGGACGGCUAACUACGUG